CAGUGUGAUUGCGUUAUAUAGCGUUAAAGUUGUGGCGACGUUACUGUAAAAAAAAUCAAUACCGUCGCAGAAUAUUUUCCCUUUUUUCCGAUUAAAAAUCAAAAUUCUAUCGUAGAUACCUUGAACAGUAACACGGUUGCUAAGAACUUUCUUUUCAGCAAUCGAUUUGUCGUUCAUUUUUUAAUCAUAUGUCAUCAAUUUUGUUAUUAAGUCUGUGGGCCAAUAAAUUAAAAACUCUUGAUUAUAUGAAAAAUAUCUGUCGAUUUCCCCUAUGUCUUCUUUGUAUUAUUUCCGUAUCAGCUCUAAACUCAAAAAUGAAAACGGUUACGCUUACGUUUCAUUUAAUUUUCCGAUGAAUUUGUGCAAGCAGAAUUCAUUUGCCAAAUUUAAAAACAAAAAUCGCGGAGUAAUCAAUUAUGUACACUUCGACUCAAUGCUAGUAAAAAUAUAUGUCGACCUUGUGUGAAAAAAAGCAUAUGGUAAUUCCGGUGUAGAUCAAAUUUUAUUGUGAACAAGACCUCUCAAUUUUUACUUAUUUUUGACACUUCUGCUGGUUGACUGUUAGUCCUUCUAGAAUGAUUCAUUAGCUCAGUAGUCAGUGGUUCAGUACUGAAAUGAUUUACAUCAUGUUUUGUAAAAUGUGUUGAUAAAAUAAGAAUCUAAGGUUUCAACUUUCUGAGGCUAGUACGUAGAUCUAUGACGAAUUUGGCUAAAUACUUUCAUGUAACUGUUGGUCAUAAAGCUUCUUAUGUUUCUAUGUAUUAUAUGCAUCCUGGAUUUUCAAAACAUUCUUGGUUUUGGUUGAGCGUUAUUGAUUAGGUAAACCCAGCGCUUUAGAAGCACGAACCUUUUCAUUAACCAGUAAAUAGUGUGUAUUCAUUAUUAUCUUACCUCCUAUACAUUUCUAGGAAUAUGAUUGGCUAAAAGCGUCCGCAUGGAGACCGUGUAUAUUCAAUAUUAGGUUAGUAGGGAGGCUGGGCUUAUUUCAUUCACGGUUAGUAGUGGUGUUACGACCCUAGCUUUAUAACAACAAAACGGUACUGAGACAAAAUCUUAAAGGUUUCAACAGACGAAGAAAUGGACGAUCAAGAUUGAAAUAAAUUUAUAAAACACA
rnacentral:lncRNA from 1 species